CCAGGGUUGAGCACGCAGUUUAGCGUCCACGAAGCAAAGAAGCGCACUUGAAAUGGCCCAAGGUGCGAAUGGAAUGGGGGGCGAAGACCUGAAGGGGUAUUUACCUGGAAGAGCGGGCCCUUACGGCUACGCCGUAUCACCACGUUUGAAAAGGACAAUGUGAUUUUUGUCGCAAGUUUUAUCUGUCAAAAAAGGUAACACGGGAUUGUUGUUUGAGGACACAUCGCCGCGAGAGCAACCGCGCGCAAUUCGUCAAUCGUUACACUCCCAGCCGGCAGGGUAGCAUACCUUGGCGGAGACAAAACCAAGGUCGAUAAUGGGCCACUUCAGAAGGUUCGCGUUCGCACCAGAAACGGUGACAUUGCGCUGGAGCAGCAACGGCACCUCGUAAGGCAACCAAUCGGCUUCGCUCAUGGUCAUGUCCUGAAGUACCCAUAUCGUGGAAAUAUUUAUCAUAUAAAAAGCUGCAAUUAAAUCUUUUGUACUAUUGCAGCGGAGAGCGCUUAAAGCCUGGCCGCAAGUCAAAGGUGGUGCACCUGCUGCUAUGAUUGUGACAACUAAAAGCCGGAAUAAAAACAUAGCUAAGUGGAGCAGGAUAUUGUGGUCACGACAUCCCAGCGCCAUACGUUCAGACACCAGCUACUUUAUUCCCGCAUUUGCUGCGAAGUACUGUGUACGAGCGAUGUGUUUACGGCGUUCUAAUGGAAAAUGUAGGUGAGCAGGAGUGCAGGAAGCCGCAAGGCAGAACUCCCAUCGCUGGUGUGUGUGCGUGGUUGUUACAGUGGGCUCCAGACUCACGAAGAGUGGCUGGUGGCAGGGGUUUCCAGGACUGCUGUAUGCGGAAGACGUGACGCUCGCUCGUGACAACGAUCCCGCCGGUUCAUGCAUACAUGUUUCGAGUGGCUGAAUGGUUCCGUCAAGCGCUCUUGAUGAGCCAAAAUGUGAGCUAGAAUGCGUUAUUAAUGUGUAGCUGGCACGCACUCAACCUAUGACGCGCUCCGGGCAAGCGCAGCAAAUGAAAAAAUUGCCGGUUAGCCGCUCCCUGAGCAAAGAGCGGACAAAGGACCCCGCGAUCGGGCUCCGAUGUCGGCUUUUAUGGUUGAUUCGUACUGGAUGGAGCUUUAUCAUGUUUAUAGUUGGGGUAGAAAGCGCAGCUUUCGCUGUCUUUGGAAAAGAAUCGAGCGUAGAUUUCUGUGACCUCAAGCUGUAAU
rnacentral:lncRNA from 1 species